AGAAAUUGAUAUUUUUAAUGAAGUAAAAACGCAGUUAAACCUUUUGGUGGAUUCCAAAAAAAUGACAUCGAUUGUGACAGAUGGUGCCAAAACCAUGGUUAGCAAAAAUAUCGAGUUUUUUAGAUUAUUACGCAAAUAUAACGUUAAUGUUCCUGCUAUAUAUUGUAUUAAAAGCAAGAUGCUACACUUCAAUUAGAAUUAUGCGAGUUGCAAAAUGACCCAUUAUUAUCUACGAAAGAGAUUGACGUAAGCUUUUGGAAACAAUGUUAACCUGUUAACAAAUAUCCACUUUUAUGAG